GGGCUCGUAGCUCAGUCAGGCAGAGCACCGGGCUUUUAUUCGAAUGAAAAGAUACCCGAUGGUCGAGGGUUCAAAUCCCUCCGAGCCCG
rnacentral:tRNA from 1 species